GAUGAAGAACGUAGCGAAAUGCGAUAAGUAAUGUGUAUUGCAGAAUUCAGUGAAUCAUCGAGUCUUUGAACGCACAUUGCGCCCCCUGGUAUUCCGGGGGGCAUGCCUGUCCGAGCGUCAUUGCCGCCCUCAAGCACGGCUUGUGUGUUGGGCCCCCGCCCCCCGGCUUCGGGGGGCGGGCCCGAAAGGCAGCGGCGGCACCGCGUCCGGUCCUCGAGCGUAUGGGGCUUCGUCACCCGCUCUGUAGGCCCGGCCGGCGCCCGCCGGCGACCCCAAUCAAUCUUUCCAGGUUGACCUCGGAUCAGGUAGGGAUACCCGCUGAACUUAAGCAUAUCAAUAAGCGGAGGA
rnacentral:misc_RNA from 1 species